rnacentral:pre_miRNA from 1 species
ACGGAGAGUGCACUGUCAUCACUACUGGCUUGAUUUGAAGGUGAUGACAUGACAUUCCUGUCA